UUCCAAAUGUUGAGUUCAGUUCAGGGCCUCUUCCCUGCUCUGUUAAUUAAACUUUGGGACGUUGAAAGGGGCUAGGAGAUAGAAUUGGAUAGAGAAUACCAUUGUAUUCAUUUAUUUCCCAGCCUACAAUG